rnacentral:lncRNA from 1 species
AUGUGUUCCCAAGAGCAAAGGAGCUCAAAAUUCAAUCCACGGAGAUGUAUCCUGCAAACAGCUGAACAUUCAACAAAAGAAAGGUUGGAGCGCUCCACCCAGGACUUCCAUUUAAGGAGGGUGCCCAAGCUUUCCAUCCCUUUAUUUCUGACCAUCAUGCAUUCCCCUGGACCUCUCCUCCAUGCCCCCAUUCUAACUACUUCCCAUUGUGUAUUUUAUUUCCCAUUAGAAUGUAAGUUCCCUAAGUAUAAGAACUAUUUCACUUUUUGUUUGUGUUUGUAUUCCUAUCAUUGAUCACAGUGUCUGGUAGAUAGUAAGGGCUUAAUAGAUGCUUAUUAAUUGUCUGAUUGGCUCUACCAUACAAAAAUCCCAGGUCUCUUAGCUAAUAUAUCUAGACAAAUAGCUAAACUCUUUUUUUCUAAAUCUUUUACAUCUAAUAAUAAUAGUAAUAGUAGUUUCAAUUUCUGUAUCACUUUUAUAGAUUAAAAAAUACUCUUCUUAUAAUCACUGUAGAAGGUGGGAAAUAUCUUAUUCUCAUUUUAUAGAAAAGUAAACCAAAUUCCAUAGUACAACCUCCCAGCCCACGAGAGGUUUCAAGGAGAGAAGAUAGAAACAGGAUAGAAGUUUUGGAUUCCGAGGAGGGCUUGAACGAGCCGGUUUUAGAGAUGUAAAUAAUCGAGUCAGUAAUCAAUUAUUAAUUUUCGGGAGCCACAGCCUGCUCCGACCACUGGAGGUUACUAUUCAGGCUAUUCCCAUCCAAUGAUCUCAAUUUAACACUGCACUGGUCAGAGGAUAAUGCUAGCUCAGAAGGAAAGGAGAUCAGAAACUAAAAGCAGUAGAUAAUGCUAGGUAUUAGCAUUAGAAAAGAGAGAGAAACAGGGAGGCCUGGCCAAAGGCCAGGCCUCAGGGAGAAAGAUAGAGAGGAGAGAGAAAGGGGAGAAGUUGCUCCAUUGCAAACCUGUCGGUGUCCUCCAAGUGGGUGGGCUGGCUGUGUCAACUCCCCUUUAUUCUCUUUGAUAUACAAAUGAGCUCAAUACAUAUUGAUCAGUUACAUGAUACUUCAAUACAUAUGGAUGAGUUACCUAGUGUAUUGCCAUUGGCUAAUUGCAACUUAUGACAAGGUGAAGGUGGGGUUAUUAUCCUCGGGUAAGUGAGACAAAGGGAAGCAAGGUUUCGCGCCUAAACUUCAGCCACGCUGGGAAUAGGGCUCAUUGCCAUGCGCAGGGUGGCCAUGUGCUCACUCACAAUCCUUGUCUCUCCAUAAUACCUAUGGGCUGGACUGCUACACAUAGAA